rfam:Oryza sativa (indica cultivar-group) chromosome 2, whole genome shotgun sequence.
AAAAAGACAAACCCUGGGUUUUCGUGUCCAACGUUUGACUGUCCGUUUUAUAUGAAAUUUUUUUAUAAUUAGUAUUUUGACUGUCCGUAUCCAACGUUAGAUGAUAAAACAUGAUUAAUACUUUAUGCGUGAUUUGUCUUUUUAAUUUUUUUUCAUAAUUUUUUUAAAUAAGACGGACGGUCAAACGUUGGACACCAAAACCCAAAGUUUGUCCUUUU